rnacentral:rRNA from 1 species
GACGAACGCUGGCGGCGUGCUUAACACAUGCAAGUCGAACGAGUGGCGAACGGGUGAGUAAGACGUGGGUACGCGGCCCUCUUGUGGGAAUAAGCCUUGGAAACGGGGUCUAAUACCGAAGAACGGGGGAUGGGCUCGGGGCCUAUCGGCUUGGUGGUGGGGGGUUGGCCUACGAAGGCGGUGCCGGGUAGCCGGCCUGAGAGGGGGAACGGGCACAUUGGGACAGGGAUACGGCCCAGGCGCCUACGCGCGGCAGCAGGGGGGUAUAUUGGACAAGGGGCGAAAGCCGGAUGCAGCUACGCCGCAUGGGGGCUGAAGGCUUGCGGGCUUGAAACCUCCUGCGCCACCGAACGGGUAGGUGGAGAAGAAGCGCCGGCUAACUACGUGCCAGCAGCCGCGGUAAUAC